rnacentral:rRNA from 1 species
UACAGAGGGUGCGAGCGUUAAUCGGAAUUACUGGGCGUAAAGCGCGCGUAGACGGUUUUGUAAGUCAGAUGUGAAAUCCCUGGGCUCGAACCUGGGAACUGCAUUUGAGACUGCAUGGCUAGAGUAUCGAAGAGGGAAGUGGAAUUUCCGGUGUAGCGGUGAAAUGCGUAGAUAUCGGAAGGAACACCAGUGGCGAAAGCGACUUCCUGGUCGAAUACUGACGUUCAUGUGCGAAAGCGUGGGAGCAAACAGG